rnacentral:rRNA from 1 species
GUGAACGCUGGCGGUAGGCCUCACACCUGCAAGUCGAACGGCAACACAGUAAGAGCUUGCUCUUACGGGUGGCGAGUGGCGGACGGGUGAGGAAUACAUCGGAAUCUACUUUUUCGUGGGGGAUAACGUAGGGAAACUUACGCUAAUACCGCAUACGACCUACGGGUGAAAGCAGGGGAUCUUCGGACCUUGCGCGAUUGAAUGAGCCGAUGUCGGAUUAGCUAGUUGGCGGGGUAAAGGCCCACCAAGGCGACGAUCCGUAGCUGGUCUGAGAGGAUGAUCAGCCACACUGGAACUGAGACACGGUCCAGACUCCUACGGGAGGCAGCAGUGGGGAAUAUUGGACAAUGGGCGCAAGCCUGAUCCAGCCAUACCGCGUGGGUGAAGAAGGCCUUCGGGUUGUAAAGCCCUUUUGUUGGGAAAGAAAAGCAGCAGGUUAAUACCCCGCUGUUCUGACGGUACCCAAAGAAUAAGCACCGGCUAACUUCGUG